rnacentral:misc_RNA from 1 species
GAUGAAGAACGUAGCGAAAUGCGAUACGUAAUGUGAAUUGCAAAUUCAGUGAAUCAUCGAGUCUUUGAACGCACAUUGCGCCCCCUGGUACUCCGGGGGGCAUGCCUGUCCGAGCGUCAUUGCUGCCCUCAAGCACGGCUUGUGUGUUGGGCCCCGUCCUCCGAUCCCGGGGGACGGGCCCGAAAGGCAGCGGCGGCACCGCGUCCGGUCCUCGAGCGUAUGGGGCUUUGUCACCCGCUCUGUAGGCCCGGCCGGCGCUUGCCGAUCAACCCAAAUUUUUAUCCAGGUUGACCUCGGAUCAGGUAGGGAUACCCGCUGAACUUAAGCAUAUCAAUAAGCGGAGGA